AGAUGGCGAUGAUGAGGAACUAGUCAUGCACCACUCUGAAUGGGUGGGAGAGAUCUCUCUCUCCUGUUCUUGCUGACAAACAGACUUACUACCCAUUAUCAAAUCUGAGCCU
rnacentral:snoRNA from 1 species